GAUGAAGGAACGUAGCGAAAUGCGAUAAGUAAUGUGAAUUGCAGAUUUCAGUGAAUCAUCGAAUCUUUGAACGCACCUUGCGCUCCUUGGUAUUCCGAGGAGCAUGCCUGUUUGAGUGUCAUUGAAUCAUCAACCACGCCGACUUUUGUCGCGCGCGGCUUGGACUUGAGGGCUGCGGGCUCCUGCCUAGGAGUCGGCUCCCUUUAAAUGCAUUAGCGGUCGACCUUCCGGCGGACCGUCUCUGGUGUGAUAAUCAUCUACGCCGCGGACGGGAAGUCUGGGGGAGGCGCCUUCGGGAACCUCUCUGUUCGAGCCGCUUCGAACCGUCUUCGGACAGCUCUUUUGACAACUUGACCUCAAAUCAGGUAGGACUACCCGCUGAACUUAAGCAUAUCAAUAAGCGGAGGA
rnacentral:misc_RNA from 1 species